UACGUAGGGGGCAAGCGUUGUCCGGAAUCAUUGGGCGUAAAGAGCGUGUAGGCGGCCAGAUAAGUCCGCUGUGAAAUCUCGAGGCUCAACUUCGAGCUGUCGGUGGAAACUGUCUGGCUAGAGUCCGGAAGAGGAGAAUGGAAUUCCUGGUGUAGCGGUGAAAUGCGCAGAUAUCAGGAAGAACACCUGAGGCGAAGGCGGGUUGCUGGGCCGACACUGACGCUGAUGCGCGAAAGCCAGGGGAGCGAACGGG
rnacentral:rRNA from 1 species